rnacentral:lncRNA from 1 species
UGGACAUCAAAGUAAAAUAAUUUUUUCAUGAUCUAGUCUUGUACAUGAUAAAGUCAAGCACAGAGGUUGUGGUCUAGUUGCAGAGCCGAGAUAGUGAAACUAGGCAUAAUGAACUUGCUUUUUUUAUAACAAAGCAAAACACCCUGCAUUCCAAUCCCCUACUAAGUAGCUGGGUGAGGGUUCUUUGUAUCAAUCACAAGACUAUAAACUCUAAAAUAGUUGUGAAGGGUUUUUAUGAUGUCCUUGGAAAAUAUUUAUGAAGGCAUCGGUAAGUUUAUGUGCAACUUUUUGAUUGUAUUGAGGUUCCAAGCAGGC